UUUUCUUGGAUGCCCAGAAGGCCCUCAAUAAUUUAAAUUGGAAAUUUAUGAUACAACAAAUUUAUAACAUGAACCUAGGAACUAAAUUUGAGAAUAUAAUAAAAACAAUAUAUACAAAACAAAGAGCAA